GCUCUCGCUUAGGCAGCACAUAUACUAAAAUUAGAAUGAUACAGAGAAGAUUAGCACGGCCCCUGCACAAGGAUGACACACAAAUUCAUAAAAUGUUCCAUAUUUAA
ensembl:snRNA U6 U6 spliceosomal RNA